rnacentral:rRNA from 1 species
GACGAACGCUGGCGGCGUGCUUAACACAUGCAAGUCGAACGGGAUUUAGUAAACGGAAGCCUCGGUGGAAGAUUACUAAUGAGAGUGGCGAACGGGUGAGUAACGCGUAAGCAACCUGCCUAUGACAGUGGGAUAGCCUCGGGAAACCGGGAUUAAUACCGCAUCAAAUCGUAGAAACACAUGUUUCAACGGUCAAAGAUUUAUCGGUCAUAGAUGGGCUCGCGUCUGAUUAGCUAGUUGGUGAGAUAACAGCCCACCAAGGCGACGAUCAGUAGCCGGUCUGAGAGGAUGAACGGCCACAUUGGAACUGAGACACGGUCCAAACUCCUACGGGAGGCAGCAGUGGGGAAUAUUGCACAAUGGGGGAAACCCUGAUGCAGCGACGCCGCGUGAACGAAGAAGGUAUUCGUAUCGUAAAGUUCUGUCCUAUGGGAAGAUAAUGACAGUACCAUAGAAGAAAGCUCCGGCUAAAUACGUG